rnacentral:rRNA from 1 species
GGCGGACGGGUUAGUAACGCGUGGNANCAUACCCUUUGGUACGGAAUAGCCUCUGGAAACGGAGAGUAAUACCGUAUGAGCCCUUCGGGGGAAAGAUUUAUCGCCAAAGGAUUGGCCCGCGUUAGAUUAGGUAGUUGGUGGGGUAAUGGCCUACCAAGCCUACGAUCUAUAGCUGGUUUUAGAGGAUGAUCAGCAACACUGGGACUGAGACACGGCCCAGACUCCUACGGGAGGCAGCAGUGGGGAAUCUUGGACAAUGGGGGCAACCCUGAUCCAGCCAUGCCGCGUGAGUGAUGAAGGCCUUAGGGUCGUAAAGCUCUUUCGCCUGUGAAGAUAAUGACGGUAGCAGGUAAAGAAACCCCGGCUAACUCCGUGCCAGCAGCCGCGGUAAUACGGAGGGGGUUAGCGUUGUUCGGAAUUACUGGGCGUAAAGCGCACGUAGGCGGACUGGAAAGUUGGGGGUGAAAUCCCAGGGCUCAACCCUGGAACUGCCUCCAAAACUAUCAGUCUAGAGUUCGAGAGAGGUGAGUGGAAUUCCGAGUGUAGAGGUGAAAUUCGUAGAUAUUCGGAGGAACACCAGUGGCGAAGGCGGCUCACUGGCUCGAUACUGACGCUGAGGUGCGAAAGUGUGGGGAGCAAACAGGAUUAGAUACCCUGGUANUCCACACCGUAAACGAUGAAUGNCAGUCGUCGGGUAGCAUGCUAUUCGGUGACACACCUAACGG